UCAAAGUGCCUUCUCUUUAG
rnacentral:siRNA from 1 species